rnacentral:rRNA from 1 species
GACCCCAUACCGAACUCAGAAGUAAAACGCAGUAACGUCGAUGGUAGUGUGGUGAUUCGCCAUGUGAGAGUAGAGCAUCGUCGGGU